UACGUAGGGGGCAAGCGUUAUCCGGAUUUACUGGGUGUAAAGGGAGCGUAGACGGCGGUGCAAGCCUGAUGUGAAAGCCCGGGGCUCAACCCCGGGACUGCAUUGGGAACUGCCCCGCUCGAGUGCCGGAGGGGCAGGCGGAAUUCCUAGUGUAGCAGUGAAAUGCGUAGAUAUGUGGAAGAACACCGAUGGCGAAGGCAGCCUCCUGGGACGCAACUGACGCUCAUACACGAAAGCGUGGGGAGCAAACAGG
rnacentral:rRNA from 1 species